GACGAACGCUGGCGGCGUGCCUAAUACAUGCAAGUCGAGCGGACCGACGGGAGCUUGCUCCCUUAGGUCAGCGGCGGACGGGUGAGUAACACGUGGGUAACCUGCCUGUAAGACUGGGAUAACUCCGGGAAACCGGGGCUAAUACCGGAUGCUUGAUUGAACCGCAUGGUUCAAUCAUAAAAGGUGGCUUUUAGCCACCACUUGCAGAUGGACCCGCGGCGCAUUAGCUAGUUGGUGAGGUAACGGCUCACCAAGACGACGAUGCGUAGCCGACCUGAGAGGGUGAUCGGCCACACUGGGACUGAGACACGGCCCAGACUCCUACGGGAGGCAGCAGUAGGGAAUCUUCCGCAAUGGACGAAAGUCUGACGGAGCAACGCCGCGUGAGUGAUGAAGGUUUUCGGAUCGUAAAACUCUGUUGUUAGGGAAGAACAAGUACCGUUCGAAUAGGGCGGUACCUUGACGGUACCUAACCAGAAAGCCACGGCUAACUACGUGCCAGCAGCCGCGGUAAUACGUAGGUGGCAAGCGUUGUCCGGAAUUAUUGGGCGUAAAGCGCGCGCAGGCGGUUUCUUAAGUCUGAUGUGAAAGCCCCCGGCUCAACCGGGGAGGGUCAUUGGAAACUGGGGAACUUGAGUGCAGAAGAGGAGAGUGGAAUUCCACGUGUAGCGGUGAGAUGCGUAGAGAUGUGGAGGAACACCAGUGGCGAAGGCGACUCUCUGGUCUGUAACUGACGCUGAGGCGCGAAAGCGUGGGGAGCGAACAGG
rnacentral:rRNA from 1 species